rnacentral:rRNA from 1 species
GAGGAAUAUUGGUCAAUGGGCGAGAGCCUGAACCAGCCAAGUAGCGUGCAGGAUGACGGCCCUAUGGGUUGUAAACUGCUUUUAUGUGGGGAUAAAGUGAGCUACGUGUAGUUUAUUGCAGGUACCACAUGAAUAAGGACCGGCUAAUUCCGUGCCAGCAGCCGCGGUAAUACGGAAGGUCCAGGCGUUAUCCGGAUUUAUUGGGUUUAAAGGGAGCGUAGGCCGUGGAUUAAGCGUGUUGUGAAAUGUAGACGCUCAACGUCUGAAUUGCAGCGCGAACUGGUUCACUUGAGUAUGCACAACGUAGGCGGAAUUCGUCGUGUAGCGGUGAAAUGCUUAGAUAUGACGAAGAACUCCGAUUGCGAAGGCAGCUUACGGGAGCACAACUGACGCUGAAGCUCGAAGGUGCGGGUAUCGAACAGGAUUAGAUACCCUGGUAGUCCGCACAGUAAACGAUGGAUGCCCGCUGUUGGUACCUGGUAUCAGCGGCUAAGCGAAAGCAUUAAGCAUCCCACCUGGGGAGUACGCCGGCAACGGUG